CUUCCCAGAUAUGUUUGAUGGAAACAAGGGAGAGGGCCUUCUCAGUGACUGUGCACAGACUCUGGAAAACCUUUACAGGGAGGCUUCCUCCAAGAGUUUUAGAAACUGACUGUGAUGGGCUUUUAAUGGCAAACUGAAUAAAGACUGCUGAUGGAAGGAGCCAGAUAGUGUACUUCUUCUCAUGCAUUAUUAUAAUAACCUGAAUAGGGCUACAUGUAUUCACAAGAAGUAUCUAACUCAGGUUUAUGCAUGAAAGGACAAUGUAGGGCAAUUUUCUCAACUGAUACUCAGAUUCAAUCUGGAGUUUGCCACUACAGCCUGGAUGCCAUAUUGCAAUUGCAAAAGAGAACACCAGCAUCUGCAUGAGGAACACAGGUUUCUUCAAUGUCCAGCUUUCACAUCCAUGCAAAGAAACUGGAAAUUCUGUUUCAUUAAGACAUACUUGGGGAUUAGUACAGACUACAGUUUAGUAGCUGAGGAAAAGAGUAAACUGCAAGAAACUGAAAAUGGAAAUCUGUACCUUUAACACAGCCAGAAGUCUGAGAUGAAGAGAUGGAAAAAGCUCCACCUGGGAUGCAUCUGGCCUCACCAGGAUAAAAAACGAUGUUGGCAACUGUUACGAAAGCCCAGCAUUUUUCCCUAGUUGUUUUCUCCAUUUAAUUUGGCAUCAUAAUUGUAAAAAUAAAGAACAAUAAAGAACUA